AAAGUCGUAACAAGGUAACCGUAGGUGAACCUGCGGUUGGAUCAUUAAAAAGAUCUAGCCUGAAUUCGGAAGUGAUCGUCUUCCAGAUGAUCAUGCCCGAUGCCGGGUUUUCUCACCUAAAAAGUGAGUCAACAUCAUGUGAACUGUUUUGUCUCUGGCGGUGGGAUGGCUAACAACCAUCUGUCAGCAUCUGAGGUUUUUCCUCAGUGUGCCGUGGACAAGCCGCCAACGGUGUAUGUUUUCAUACGAACUUUUGUUUAAUUCAAAUUUGUCUGACAUAUCUUUGUAUCUAAAAUAUACAAAAACAACUUUUGGCAACGGAUCUCUUGGCUCCC
rnacentral:misc_RNA from 1 species